CUUGUACUCCCGCCGUCCGGAAAUACUUGUCCUCAAAAUGGAUAAAAUGGAUGUAUCUAUAAUUAAAAUAAGUCUAGAUACAACCAUUUCGAGGACAAGUAUUUCCGGACGGAGGGAGUACCUG
rnacentral:pre_miRNA from 1 species